UGUAAACUCAGAAUUCUGAGUUAUCACGCAAUUCCGAAAAAAAAAAAUGUUCUCAUUCUUCAGAUUGAGCUCAAGGUAAUUUCAAUAGUAAAGCACUAUCAUAAUGUGAAGGUAACAGAAAAAUAACAAGAUGUUUAGGUUGCAUAUCAUACAAACAAGCAAGCAUAAACAUCUUGGCAGGAACAAGCUAUAAACUGAACCAGACUUUAUGACGACAGUCAAAGUCUGACUAUGCGACUCAUGAAGUGCAGAUAUGACUCACGGUGAAGUGUGGACAAUAUAACGCCGGUUUUUCAUCACAGAGCCUUACAUAAGUUUCAGUCACAUAUAGCCACUAGUGACUCAGAGAUGAGCACAUGACUUAAAAAAAGCUCUCAUUCGUCUUAAUCAUAAUAAGAAACUAGUCCUUUGAAAUAAAAAAAUAGAUAUACUAUACUAAUAUAUGUGCUUAUUAUAUGCAGCCUUGAGAUUUCCUUCUGACCAUCUUUCUGCUUUCAUGAAUUGCAUGAAUCGCACAAAAAGUCCCACAAAGGCUCAGUCUAACAUAUCAAACGUAACCUCCAGGCCUUUAUGGAGACACGCUGGCCCUCUCCAAUACAAUUACAGCCCUCCAGUCCUUCCUUACUGUGCUGGUGCAAAUAAAGGAUCUGUCCAAUGGCUACAGUAUAACAGCUCCACCAAAUGAGGAGGGAUAGGCAGCAGAAACAGAUGCUCAGAGUCUGUGAGAGAUUUGAUUGACAGCCCUGUUUGAAGCAGGCUUUGGGAGAAGAGAGGAGUCGUGUGCUGCAGGAGCUGAUGACGUCCGUCAGCGGACUUCAAUUCAUGUUUCCGUGCUCUCUGUGUACAUAUCGUCUAUUUUAGGUUUUCUAUUUUUACACUGCUCUUUUUAUGUGUUUUAUCCACUACAGUUUCCACCUCAAAGC